UCUCAAAACGACUUCACACCGGAAGAGGAAUCGAAAUCAUAACCUCCAAAUCUCAAAAGACGAACCCUAGCGAUUUGCCCAAAUCGCUUCCCCUCCAAUUUUGAAAAUCUCGGCACAAGAUAAAUUUGUGCCCUUAAUCUCCCUUCCCUCUAUCAUCCGUCAUCUUCCCAUAAGCUAAACCACCAAAUUCGCGAAGAAGCAAAUCAAUCGGCUGGAUGACUUAGGCGCACGUAUCUGAUGAUUCUAGUGGAGAAGGCAAGACUAAAGAUCUCAUUAAAGACUUGUCAUCUAUGUUGGUGAGAGCUACUCAAAUAUCAAAAAAAGAAGUCGUGAUAUUCAUCAACAUGACUGUACGGAGGAUAAUGGGAAAGGAUGGGAAAAAUGCUUAUGAAUUUAUUCCAACUAUGAGACCGAGUGAAGAGUUUUCUUGAAUUUGUCGAACCCUACGUGAUUGGCACUAAAAUUGUUGUAAAUUAUGUAGUAUUUUCAUUGCCGUCCAAAUUAAUAGUUAACUUUGCUUGUAAUGGAACUAUUGUACAUGGAAACAUUGUGCAAAAUAUUAUUUUUUGCACAUGCUUAAUGGUUUAAGAAAUUAAUGCAUGUCAGUUGGCGAAUUUGUAUUA